rnacentral:lncRNA from 1 species
AUUUUUUUAAAAAAACCAAAACUAAAAAAGAUAUUUUAUCUGAAUCGAAAAAAAAAUUUGACAUUUUUCCGAGAAACCAACUUGUCACCCUAAAAUAGACACGAAAAAUUAAAAAAAAAACUUUUGAGGCCCAAUAUAUAAUUCAAAAAACUUUAAAAUGCAUCAGUUAUAUUGCUGACAUGGCGUUCCCAACCAAAUAUAUUGUUUCCUUAGAUUCACCCGUCCCAUCAUCGUUAACAAAAAUAUAUAUUUUUAUUAUAUAUUUCUUUCAAAUAUAGAUAUAUGAUUGGCCGGUUAUUAAUGAUGUGGUGUAAGCAUAGUUAAUUAAUUCGGAUUCGGCAAAAAUUCGGUAUGGGUAUAAUACACAUAAAAUUUGUUUUCUAAUUUUUAAAUUCGUUGAAAAAAUUUGGUUUAAAAAAUGAAUUCGACAUAAAAUAUAAAAUAUAAAAUAUAAGAUAAUCUAUAUUUAAACAUAAAAAUUAUAAGUUUUUUAUUCAGAUUUUCAAUAAUUCACGAAUAAUUCGAAUUUUCAAUAAUUCACGAAAAAUUCUUUUUUUGAAAAAAAAUUUGUAAACGGACAGUUUAAUUCGGAUUUUCAAUAAUUUCCAAAUUAAAAAAAUUUGUAAACGGACUGUUUAAUUCGGAUUUUCAAUAAUUCCCAAAUUAAAAAAAUUUGUAAACGGACAGUUUAAUUCGGAUUUUCAAUAAUUCCCAAAUUAAGUGACACAAAGGGUGUAAGUG